rnacentral:misc_RNA from 1 species
AACGCACAUUGCACUGUCUGGAAUUCCGGACAGUAUGUCUGUUUGAGCAUCAUUUCUCUACCCUCCAUUCAAUACCUGGGGCAACUCAGGUGUUUGAGUGAAGGGACUUGAAGCGUAGCUGGCUCGCUCAGCUUGCUUCCAAAUAACCAGCAAACAGUUGGCGUAACUGUGUAGUUAGGUCCGCAAGGAAUCUCUACUGCAGCCGCUUGACGCGUUUGCUUCAACUUUGACUGGGGAACGCCUGUGCGUCCUCUGAACUUUGAUCUCAAAUCAGACAAGACUACCCGCUGAACUUAA